GAAAACAUUAUCUUGAUCAUGUUUUGUCACAUCUUUGAUGAUGUUAAUGUUUUCUGUUGAGUCAUGACAGUGAUGGUAAAUAUGUUUUUCUCUGGUUUUAUUUAGUUACAGACAAAAACAAUCAUGCAGACAACUCCAUAGAGACACCUCUACGUACACAACAAUCAGUGGAAGAAUCGAUGUCAUUGUCAGAGCAGGAGGAGGGCUAACCUGUGUAACCAGUCUAAACUCUCAGAUGAAAUCUGUUUUUCUGUGGACUACAUUUGCUCCAGAAUCCAGUUAUUAUUCAUUUGGAUGCUGUCUUCACAGAGAACAGAAAAGACAAAUCAAUAAGAACAAUUUCUGGCUCAGAACAGCCUGCUGACAGUGACAUAUACUGUAGACGUUUUGGAAGUUUUGCAUGUGUUAUGUAUGAAUGGUGACUGAUGCCAUAUUAAUAGAUGAACUGUACUGAUGCCUUUGCACACCACAUAUGCUUGUUUUAAUUGCUGCUCUCUUGAUAGACUUAAUAGACAGUGCAUGGCUGUCCUGAUUCUACCCGUAUCCCUUAGCAAAGUUAAGCUUUAACAUGAGUUUUAUCACUAAAUUAUUAAUAGUUUUAAAAAUAAUAAUAAUAAUACAUGAAAUAUAUAUUUGCACAUAUUUAAAACUAUAAAAUGUAAAUGUAAACAUCUAAUCUUGUGCAAGUGUUAACAUCUUCUGUCUGUCCAGAGAGCUCAGAGUACAUGGGCUGAAAAGUGUACAAAUAUGGGUUAAUAGGAAUCAGGAAGAGAAGAAGAGAUGUUAUAGCUAGCAACGUUUUUAAUCACAUUAAUGAAUAUAAAGCAAAACUCUAGAAGUCAAUCAAAGUGAAUUAAAGCACUGUCUCUAAAACUCCAACUCCAAUCACAUCACUGUAUCCUCCAGUACUGGGCUUUUAACUGGUCUCAAGGUUAGAACAAAAACCCACGGUGAGCUCUCAUUUUAUUAAGGCCCAGGCCUGUUUGUGUUGCAUUUCUUUAUGUAUGAAAAGUGCUAUAUAAAUAAAGUUUGAUUUGAUUUGA